UCCCUGGUGGCUCAGAUGCUAAAGUGUCCGCCUACAAUGCAGGAGACCCAGGUUCGAUCCCUGGGUUGGGAA
rfam:Ovis aries breed Texel chromosome 10, whole genome shotgun sequence.